rnacentral:rRNA from 1 species
UACGAAGGGGGCUAGCGUUGCUCGGAAUCACUGGGCGUAAAGCGCACGUAGGCGGAUUGUUAAGUCAGGGGUGAAAUCCUGGAGCUCAACUCCAGAACUGCCUUUGAUACUGGCGAUCUUGAGUCCGGGAGAGGUGAGUGGAACUGCGAGUGUAGAGGUGAAAUUCGUAGAUAUUCGCAAGAACACCAGUGGCGAAGGCGGCUCACUGGCCCGGUACUGACGCUGAGGUGCGAAAGCCAGGGGAGCGAACGGG